rnacentral:lncRNA from 1 species
CCGGUUUAACCUAUUGGUGACAUUCUUGGUCUUUUGGACAAGGCUAGGACCACCAAGAGUCUCCUCAUUAGCAUAAAAUUGGGUGGGGUGGAUUCCUAAGAACAAUGAAGGAUAUUUCUAUCACUUAGGAAAUCCCAGAUAUUUCUGAAGCUCUAUGCCAAAAAACGGGGACAGAGACCAAGAACAUGGGUUUUCUUUAUUAAACCAUAGACUGGGUUGGACAGUUCUUGUAAGGAAUAGUGUUCCUGAGGACAGAAAUGCAGAGUAGGGAAGACUGAUAAGGUCAGAACUGAUGGUAUUGAGGCUCAGCAAACAUCACUCCAAAGCCCAGCAGCUGAACUAAAAGGACUAAAAACUGGAGCCCUGAGGCAUCUCUGACAUCCCAGCACAGCCCUGUCUCUUCUCUCAGUCCUCCCCCUCCUAAACACAUAGCGAGGCUUCCACCAACGAUCCCUUAAAACCAGACCAACCAAGGAAGAAUUCAGUAUUCUUCAGUCAUUUUACUGAAAUGCCACUAAUCAAGAAAGACUUAACUCUUCAGUAUUCUUCAAUCAUUUUAAUGAAACGCCACUAAUCAGGGAAGAUUGAACUACCAGAGGAAGAGACUGGAAAGCAAUCAUCAUAUUUAGGGCGCAGAGGAACCUGGUCCCAAACCAUUGUCUGCUCUUCAACCGUCCAUCUCUAAGAUUUGUCUGCUUUAAGUAUUUCACAGUCUUCCCUAUGGGUAAGGUGGUCGAGCCCAUUCAUAUCGUAUGGAUACAAUUUUCAUACUUAUGUUUCAUACAUACAUACACGCAUGCACUCAUACACAUAAGCCAAGAAGGAGAAUCUGUAUUCCUUUCUACAUGCUAACCCUCUGUUUAGUCCAUCAGACUCACGUAUGCAGCCUCCAGGGAGAGUUUAAGCCUCUUUUGGCAGUGGGCAAGGGAUAUGGAUCAAAGUUGUCCUGGAGGAGAGGCAGGUGACCUCUUUCAGGGUCCUGGCAGCUGGUCUUUCUCUGCAUGUGUUUUAUUCCAGGUCUCCUCCCCUGGAAGAGAGGCCUCCCCAUCUCUGCAUCUGUGCCAGGGUCCCCAUGACUUCAGUCUGCCUUCCUCCAGCGCUCUCUAGUGAUAUCCCCCAGUCCAAACGCCUUCUCCCUUUCUAGUAGACUUCACUGGCCGAGUCUAGUGGCACAGGCCGGUAAUCCCACCUACUCCAGAAACUGAGGCAGGAAGGUCACAAGUUUAAAGCCAGUCCGAGAAAUUUAGUGACAUCCUAUCUCAAAAGUUUAAAUAAAAUGAAAUGAAACCACAGAGAGAGAGAGAGAGCGCACGCGCUAGAGGGGCAAGGCCAGCAAGAUGCUUCAGUUGGGAAAGGCACUUGCUGCCAAGUCUGACAACCUGGAUUCGAUCCCUGGAACCUACAUAGUGGAAGAAGAGACUCCUGCAAGGUGUUUUCCCAUCUCCACACACAAGUACCAUGGCACGUGCAGGUGCAGGUGUCUGCACAUAGACGCCCAUAACUAAUUAAUCAAACAUCAGUUUUAAAUGUACUGCAUUUUCUGUGUAUGGAUGCUUUGCCUUCAUGUGUGUUUGCCCACAGAGGCCAGAGAAAGCCUUGGAUCCCCUAGAACUGGAGUUGCAGAUGCCUGGGAGCCACUUAAUGUGGGUACUGAGAAGCAAAUGCCCACCUCUGUCGGAGUGCUCUUAGUGGUUACUAAGCCUUCUCCCCAGCUCCCCUCCCCUCAGCGCUGUAACCCUUGGCGCCUCACUCCAAACAGACAGCCCUGACUUUUGUGAAGCAUCAGUGAUCUCUCCAUCCCUUCUCAGCUGUCCCUCACAGUCUGGGUUCUUCUGAAUAGAAUGUGACUAGCCGACCUGUGUUCCUUCAGGGAAAAAGCAAGCGACUGUGUACAGGAGUACAGGCCGGCACACGAGUGCCACAAAUAGUCCUUCCUAGAGAAUAUCACCCUUCUCAAGUUUAGGCAAAAUAAAGAGUAGUAGUGGUAGGGACUAUGUCUCUACUGGGACUAAUGAAAAGAACUUGGGAAUUGAGGUAGGACUCUACACCAAGGUCAAGGCUAGCUUCUCCCAGGACCCCAAGCUUCCUGGCCACUCUGUUAAGACUGCUCUUGGCAGAUGCUCCGCCAACAGGCAGGUGGAUUGACAAGAUGAGAAAUCUAACCAAUGUGAUGGGAGCAGGCAGCUGGCAACACUAAGCAGCGUAGGAGCCUCUGGGGACAGGCCCAGCUGAAAAGAGCUGUCUGGAAGCUGUGUGGAAAGCUCUCCCUCGUGUGGUUUCCAGCCCAUGACAAGCCCGGAGCACAAUCCAAGUCCUGGCGAGCAGAGAGUUGCUGGUGCACAUUAAUAGUAUCAUGGGAGCCCAGGCAGAGUGGGAGCAGCGAGCUCGGCCACCUGCUGCCUUAGGAGACUUGGCCCACAGGCCCUUGAGAGACUCUCCGAAGGUCCUCAGUGGGUAGCUCCAGGAUGAGGGUCUCUUAGCGCCGCCCUACUCUGCUGACUUCUGGAAGAGGCUGAUUGGCCUCCUAGUCCUGGUUUCCUGAGGUGGGACACCUCCAGAAGAGCUCCAGAAGAGAGGAUAAGAUACAACAAUGUCCGGCACCAGACCAGGCCCAGUGUCAGCAGACCACUGUGUGCUCCAGACCACACUUAGCUCAUUCACAGCAGUGCAACCUGGCACACCAAGACUACAGAGUUCUCACUGAAAGGUGAUCGGAGUUCUGAUUUCUCUCCAGGUGUACAGAGUCAAAGACGUGUAAGAGAGAGGGACUGGAAAGAUCGCUCCACUGAGCACAGGGUGUUCUUCCAGAAGAUCUGGCUUUAAUUUUCAGUACCCACGUGGUAGCUUGCAAGUAUCUAUAACUUCCAUUCCAGGGGGAUCCUGGUGUCCUCUUCUGGCCUCCACGAAUGCUGUGCACACAUGGUAGACACACUCAGACACACACACACAACAAAUGCAUAUUUUUAAAAUAAAUAUAAAUAAAAGUUCUGGAGAAGCAGAUGCCCACGAUGAGGUGACUGCCCACAUGAGUUUCACGGUUAUUUUUACUCUUUAUCCAGUAUUUAUUCAUUAUGAUCUUGAGAACUCACUGUCAAGAAAAACAGAGAAAGCCUACUGUUGGGAGAGCUACUGGCCAGACCUACAGUGUACUUUCUGGCCUUCCCAAAUCUCAGAGACACCAAUUUUACAGUUUUAUAUCAGCAUAGGCCCUUUGCCAAGAUGGGCAAGGUGGACAAGUCUGGGAUACAUGGAGCUCUGUACUAAAAAGAGCAACCACAAUACACAUAUAAUACACCCAUAUAAAAGAAUAGAGGACAAAUGUAAAGAAUAACAACAUGGGUUUUCACCAGACCUGGGGGAAAAGUAUUACUAAGUAUCUCACUACAUUAUUACUAGUGCCUUUGUUUGAAUUUUUGAAACAGGGUCUUGUCUGGCUGUACAGCUCUGGCUGGCUUGGGACUCUCUCUGUGGACCAAGGUGGCCUCAUCCUCACAGAGAUUUGCCUGCCUUUCUCUCUCAGAGUGUUGAGAUUAAAGGUGUGUGUCACCACACACCUUUUGUUUUGUUGUUGUUGCUGUUCUUUGAUUUUGAGACAGCAUCUUACUAGGCAGCCCAGGCUGAUAUAUCCCAGGCUGAUAUAUCCCAGGCUGAUAUAUCACUAUAUAGCGCAGUCUGACCUUGAACUCCCCCCUCCUGCCUUAAACUACUUGGCUAGCACCCACCAUGCUUGCCGCCAGGCAUAUACCAUCAUGCCUGACCCGAAGGAUUUGCAUUUCAUUUUAGGAAAAGGGGGGAACGAAAUGGUCACAAAACCCACAUAUUACAUUAUUCCAUUUAUAUGUAGUAUCCAAAAUAGAUCAAUCUGUAGAAAAAGAAAGCAGUAGAUUAGUGGUUGCCUGGAGCUGUAGGCUGGAAGAAACAGGGAGAGAAUGUUAACGGAUAUUGGGUUUCUUUCAGGGGAGGGAUGAUGGAAAUGUUCUAAAACUGUUUGUGGUGAUGUUUGCACAAUCUUAUGAAUGUACCAAAAAGCCAUUGACUUGUACACUUUAAAGGAGUGAAUUACAUGGUGUGUGAAUUAUAUCUCAAUAAAACUGUUAUUUUAAGAAGGGUCAUGGCUG